UGGCAGACACAGGGUGGAUCUGGUUUGAUUGGAGACAGGCUAUUUAGAGUUUUUCUUCUUUCUUCAAAGGUCUGGUUGUAUGAAACUGCCAGCGGUCAUCCUGUGGGAUCAGAGAGGGUUUUGUUGCCAAGUGGUACAGAGGGACAGGAGAGGAGGAACACAAACAAAGAGUACCAGCAGGAGAAAAUACCAACAUUUUAAAAUCACUCUUCACUAGUCGGUGGUUGUGUGAGGUUUUUCUGAGCUAAGUGUAUCUAGCUGCCAAAUCCUGAAUACAACCCUAGAAGGUAAGGAUCUACGUACACUAGUAUAAAGGACUGUUGCUGUGUUUCAGAGUUUUAGCAUUGUGAAAGGGUUGUAACAUUGCUGCAGUGGUCUCUGUUCUCUUAUCUUGCCAAUUUCUCCUCUUUACUCUCAUGCACUCAGUACACAGUAUAUUUCUCUCUGUGUGUCUCUCGAAACACUUCUCUCACUUUCUUCAACUCUGUGACCAUGGUUGGCGCAUCAUGUUUUACUUUUUAGGGUUUAACAUAUUGAGGGAUAAUUUGUUCACAUUUGCUGUGAUGGUUAGGAAGUGUACAUUUAACCUUAUGUCAUUUGUUAUCGUAUCAUUCUCUACUCAUAAUUUCAGAUGUUUUAUUUUCUCACCUUUCUUUCUGUCUCUCUUUCUCUCUGCUCAGAAACCAAUGUGUUGUUAGUAUAUGACCUAUUAUAAGCUUUUGGAUUGCUCUUCUUACAUUUUUAUGGUUUAGGUAUAUCACAAAAUUUUUUUCUUUGCUCUCUAGAGGGUGGUCUAGUUUGUUUUUCUUAAAUUGUUGAGAGGGGGUUGUAGCCAGGGCCAUAACCAGGGUUUCAAAAUUAGUGAGGUUCCAGAUUUUUUGAUUCUUUAAAAAAGCUUAUUUACAAUAAUUCAGUGAAGGCUUGAACCAGGCAGUGGGCACAGCACUGUGUUUGGAUGAAGGACACACUAACUACAAUCUGUUCAUCAUGGUCUUUCUCAAUUUUGGGAAACAUGGUAGCAACAAUUUCAGUACAGUGGAAAGGGCCCUAGCAAUGUUAACUAUCAUGCACUACAUAGAAACCCAGAACUCUUCUCAACCCUCUGCUUUGUGAGAGCGAAAUCAGUAAGAAAUGAAACAGUAGCUUAAAUGUAUCUUAAAUUUAGCCUACAAUAGUCAUCACAGGCAGUGUUAGGGAGUAACUAGUUACAUGUAAUUAAUGUAAUUUAAUUACAAAAUAAAUGUAACUUUAAUCUAUUACAGUUACCAAGAAAAAAAUGUGUAUGAUGUGUAAUAUCAUGAUUACAUUGGGGGCUUCCAUCUGAAUAUUUUCUGUAUAAAGCUAGGCUAACGUUAUAUGUUGAAUAAUAAUCAUUUUGUUGCUUUGCAUGUUUUUCAUGUGCACAGCUGCCAUUACCAGCCACAGCUGUUUAGUAAAGUUUGAUUCUUUUCUAAUGCUUUUAAUUGGUUCUCGUGUUAAAAUUUGCUGCACCACCCGCCUGCCAGUUAAACUGCCUCUCAAGCAGUCUUUUGAAAAAGAUUAACAGGGAAAAAAUUAAUUAGAAAUGUAGAAAAAUAAUCAAAAAGUUAUUAAAUGUAAUAAGUUACGUUAUUUAGAAAAAGUAAGAAAUAGUACUAUUACAUUUUCAAUUGGGUCACUUGUAAUUGGUAACCUAUUACAUUUAGAAAGUAACCUUCCCAACACUGAUCUCAGGACUGUACAGAUGGAAUGACAUGUGUAGACUAUAGUGGGCACUAAUAUUACUAUGACAAAAUAAAAAACAGCAGAUCAGUGCUGAAUGCUCUA